AUUGAACGCUGGCGGCAGGCUUAACACAUGCAAGUCGAGCGGAGAGAGGUAGCUUGCUACUGAUCUUAGCGGCGGACGGGUGAGUAAUGCUUAGGAAUCUGCCUAUUAGUGGGGGACAACAUUUCGAAAGGAAUGCUAAUACCGCAUACGUCCUACGGGAGAAAGCAGGGGAUCUUCGGACCUUGCGCUAAUAGAUGAGCCUAAGUCGGAUUAGCUAGUUGGUGGGGUAAAGGCCUACCAAGGCGACGAUCCGUAACUGGUCUGAGAGGAUGAUCAGUCACACUGGAACUGAGACACGGUCCAGACUCCUACGGGAGGCAGCAGUGGGGAAUAUUGGACAAUGGGCGAAAGCCUGAUCCAGCCAUGCCGCGUGUGUGAAGAAGGUCUUCGGAUUGUAAAGCACUUUAAGUCGGGAGGAAGGGCUGUAGGCUAAUACCUUGCAGUUUUGACGUUACCGACAGAAUAAGCACCGGCUAACUUCGUGCCAGCCGCCGCCGUAAUAC
rnacentral:rRNA from 1 species